AAUAGAUACCCUGGUAGUCCACCCCGUAAACCGUUGGGAACUAGUUGUGGGGUCCUUUCCACGGAUUCCGUGACGCAGCUAACGCAUUAAGUUCCCCGCCUGGGGAGUACGGCCGCAAGGCUAAAACUCAAAGGAAUUGACGGGGACCCGCACAAGCGGCGGAGCAUGCGGAUUAAUUCGAUGCAACGCGAAGAACCUUACCAAGGCUUGACAUACACCAGAACACCCUAGAAAUAGGGGACUCUUUGGACACUGGUGAACAGGUGGUGCAUGGUUGUCGUCAGCUCGUGUCGUGAGAUGUUGGGUUAAGUCCCGCAACGAGCGCAACCCUCGUUCUAUGUUGCCAGCACGUAAUGGUGGGAACUCAUGGGAUACUGCCGGGGUCAACUCGGAGGAAGGUGGGGAUGACGUCAAAUCAUCAUGCCCCUUAUGUCUUGGGCUUCACGCAUGCUACAAUGGCCGGUACAAAGGGCUGCAAUACCGUGAGGUGGAGCGAAUCCCAAAAACGCCGGUCCCAGUUCGGAUUGAGGUCUGCAACUCGACCUC
rnacentral:rRNA from 1 species